GCGAUGUAAUCCGUGAUGUUAUGUGAUGACAUGUAAAUCAAUUUUUCAGAUGCCUGCGAGCAUCUCAAAUUCAUGUAUUAGAGACCUGCGUGUCUCAUGAAAAAGGGUUGUAAUUAUUCUUUUAUUUUUGAAUUUUAUCUGGGAUGUAAUCUAUGAUGUAUGUUGCACAUCGAUGGUUGAUCGAUGUAUGCCUCCUACAAGCAAGCCUUGCGCGGAUUGAGAUCAUAGGUUGAUUGAAGAUGGAUCAAGG
rnacentral:lncRNA from 1 species